GUUGUAUAGUCAAGUAAUUAAGUGCAUGUGGUGGAUGCCUUGGCAGUCAGAGGCGAUGAAAGACGUGAUAGCCUGCGAAAAGCUCCGGGGAGGCGGCAAAUAUCCUUUGAUCCGGAGAUGUCUGAAUGGGGGAACCCACCUACUUUAAGGUAGGUAUUGCAACAUGAAUACAUAGUGUUGCAAGGCGAACGAGGGGAAGUGAAACAUCUCAGUACCCUUAGGAAAAGAAAUCAAUUGAGAUUCCCUCAGUAGCGGCGAGCGAACGGGGAUCAGCCCAUUAAGUUAUGUGUGUUUUAGUGGAACGCUCUGGGAAGUGCGAACGUAGAGGGUGAUAUUCCCGUACACGAAAGGGCACACAUAAUGAUGACGAGUAGGGCGAGGCACGUGAAACCUUGUCUGAAUAUGGGGGGACCAUCCUCCAAGGCUAAAUACUCCUGACUGACCGAUAGUGAACCAGUACCGUGAGGGAAAGGCGAAAAGAACCCCUGUGAGGGGAGUGAAAUAGAUCCUGAAACCGCAUGCAUACAAGCAGUGGGAGCACCUUCGUGGUGUGACUGCGUACCUUUUGUAUAAUGGGUCAGCGACUUAUAUUCAGUAGCGAGGUUAACCGUAUAGGGGAGCCGUAGAGAAAUCGAGUCUUAAUAGGGCGUUUAGUUGCUGGGUAUAGACCCGAAACCAGGCGAUCUAUCCAUGAGCAGGUUGAAGGUUGGGUAACACUAACUGGAGG
rnacentral:rRNA from 1 species